rnacentral:rRNA from 1 species
AGCGAACGCUGGCGGCAGGCUUAACACAUGCAAGUCGAGCGGGCAUCCUUGUGGUGUCAGCGGCAGACGGGUGAGUAACGCGUGGGAACGUGCCCUUCGGUUCGGAAUAACUCAGGGAAAAUUGAGCUAAUACCGGAUACGUGCGAGAGCAGAAAGGUUUAUCUGCCGAAGGAUCGGCCCGCGUCUGAUUAGCUAGUUGGUGAGGUUAUGGCUCACCAAGGCGACGAUCAGUAGCUGGUCUGAGAGGAUGAUCAGCCACACUGGGACUGAGACACGGCCCAGACUCCUACGGGAGGCAGCAGUGGGGAAUAUUGGACAAUGGGGGCAACCCUGAUCCAGCCAUGCCGCGUGAGUGAUGACGGCCUUAGGGUUGUAAAGCUCUUUUCUUCGGGACGAUAAUGACGGUACCGGAGGAAUAAGCCCCGGCUAACUUCGUG